UGGCAAUGAUGACAAAAAAGGCCGGACUUACGGCUGCUACCGUGAGGUCGGUAGUAGGUUGAUGAUAAAUCUCACAUAAGGUUGUCGGCUGAGCCAG